rnacentral:pre_miRNA from 1 species
UUUUAUGAGUGAGUAAAGAAAGUGGUUUCUUGAGAUAGAAUCUACUCCUGGUGAAGAUGCAGUGAA